CGUGGAGAACCUGCCGUAUACUGGGGGAGUAACACUUAGAAAUAGGUGCUAAUACCGCAUAAGCGCACAGCUUCGCAUGAAGCAGUGUGGAAAACAAAAAAGACUAAAGCUUUUGGUGGUAUACGAUGGAUCCGCGUCUGAUUAGCUUGUUGGCGGGGUAAAGGCCCACCAAGGCGACGAUCAGUAGCCGGCCUGAGAGGGUGAACGGCCACAUUGGGACUGAGACACGGCCCAAACUCCUACGGGAGGCAGCAG
rnacentral:rRNA from 1 species